UACGAAGGGGGCUAGCGUUGCUCGGAAUCACUGGGCGUAAAGGGUGCGUAGGCGGGUUUUUAAGUCAGGGGUGAAAUCCUGGAGCUCAACUCCAGAACUGCCUUUGAUACUGGUGAGCUUGAGUCCGGAAGAGGUGAGUGGAACUGCGAGUGUAGAGGUGAAAUUCGUAGAUAUUCGCAAGAACACCAGUGGCGAAGGCGGCUCACUGGUCCGGUACUGACGCUGAGGUGCGAAAGCGUGGGGAGCAAACAGG
rnacentral:rRNA from 1 species